AAUGUGAAUUAUAAUAUAUUUGCAAACUAAAAAUUGUUUUUCUUGCUUCGCUCAAAAUUUCAAUGCUCAUUUUUCGAUUUUGCAUUUUUGCAGACUUUUAUUAAAAAUAUUAUGACCAAUGAGUCUGAGAAUAUCAUUGCGCGUAAAAUCGUCGCUAUCAAGUUGUACGUGAGUUAUCUCCCCAGAGCGCUAGUUGUCUUUCUGCACGGUGUCUAUAAAAAUGUAAUAAUUUAUAUUACAUAUAAAAUGUGGCUUAUAUUAAAAAAAAUACUUAAUAUAUUGAAGUUGAGUCAUCAUAAUUAACAUUAAAUGGGUCUUAGUGACAAUAUUGCAUUGAAACUGAAAAAAAGAUAUCAUUAAUAAUUGGAUACGAUAUAGUACGGGUUUUAAUGAUCAGUUUGCUUUCCCCCCAACUAGGAAACUUGUUUAGCAACGCAUUUUGUACAUACAUUGUACUACUGAGGAUCAGCCGCACUAAGUACUUAUGGUGCAAUACAAAUAACAACGCGCAAUAUCGAACGUUUUCAAAUGCAAUAAAUCUCAUCGGGUCCUCACACGAGCUCGGAUCGAGUGUUGUUGACGCGAACAUGCGGUCAAAAACGCGAUGGUACAUUUUCAGCGUAUAAUCGUCGUCUACAAUAUCAACUACUACACUACUGCUGCUAUUAGGUAUAUUACAUUUACAUACAAGUACGCAGCAGCAACUAAUACCAUGGUUACUGCAGAACAAUAAAUGCACUACAUGGUCAUAAUUCGAUGGGCAAUGCAGUUGUUGCAGCGGAUAGGUAGUCAGGGAGCUCGAUAUUUUACCAAUAUCCAUGGAGUGUACACGAAAUUACAUGAAAUUAUGACAACAGAACAAUUUUUGUGGAAUAAAAAUAUAAUUGUAUUUAUUAUAUGUCUCUUCGAAAUCAUUAAACCAGAUAGUAAAAUACUGCAUGGGCUUUAUGUACGCAGUUGAAUGGCUCAAUCAACUAGGAUAGAUUUUUAAAAAAAAUUGCAUCUCACUCAGUAAGAGAGAGAAGGUAAGCAUUUAAAUAAUGUGUUCAUAUAAUAUUGUAAAUGUAAUAGUUUACCUUUGUGUUAAAUAAUAUUUUAUGAGGAUAAAGAACAUGAAAUUUUGAGUGUAAGAAUCGUCUAAUUGCAUUGAUACUUUUUUGCAAAAAAAAAAAAAAAAAAUACAAAUAUA